rnacentral:rRNA from 1 species
AUUGAACGCUGGCGGCAUGCCUUACACAUGCAAGUCGAACGGUAACGGGCCUUCGGGUGCCGACGAGUGGCGAACGGGUGAGUAAUACAUCGGAACGUGCCCGAUCGUGGGGGAUAACGAGGCGAAAGCUUUGCUAAUACAGCAUACGAUCUACGGAUGAAAGCAGGGGACCGCAAGGCCUUGCGCGGACGGAGCGGCCGAUGGCAGAUUAGGUAGUUGGUGGGAUAAAAGCUUACCAAGCCGACGAUCUGUAGCUGGUCUGAGAGGAUGAUCAGCCACACUGGGACUGAGACACGGCCCAGACUCCUACGGGAGGCAGCAGUGGGGAAUUUUGGACAAUGGGCGCAAGCCUGAUCCAGCCAUGCCGCGUGCAGGAUGAAGGCCUUCGGGUUGUAAACUGCUUUUGUACGGAACGAAAAGCCUUCUUUUAAUACAGGAGGGUCAUGACGGUACCGUAAGAAUAAGCACCGGCUAACUACGUG